rnacentral:rRNA from 1 species
GAUGAACGCUGGCGGCGUGCCUAACACAUGCAAGUCGAGCGAGAUUAAGUGUAGUGAGGGCUUCGGCCUGAGUGAAGCUUAUGAAAGCGGCGGACGGGUGAGUAACGCGUGGGCAACCUGCCCCAUACAGAGGGAUAGCCACUGGAAACGGUGAUUAAUACCUCAUAAGUCAGUAGAGUCGCAUGAUUUAGCUGACAAAGAUUUAUCGGUAUGGGAUGGGCCCGCGUCUGAUUAGCGAGUUGGUGAGGUAACGGCUCACCAAGGCGACGAUCAGUAGCCGACCUGAGAGGGUGAUCGGCCACACUGGAACUGAGACACGGUCCAGACUCCUACGGGAGGCAGCAGUGGGGAAUAUUGCACAAUGGGCGCAAGCCUGAUGCAGCAACGCCGCGUGAGUGAUGAAGGCCUUCGGGUUGUAAAACUCUGUCCUAUGGGAAGAGACAAAUGACGGUACCAUGGGAGGAAGCCCCGGCUAACUACGUGCCAGCCGCCGCCGUAA